CGCAUGAAAACAGGACAAAUACUUGCCUGAAAUCAAUACGGGGUCCAACAAGCUUUGUUAUGGACGAGUAACUCGGGCAAAGAGGGGAAAUGGACCCCGACCGAUCAUAUUCUGCAUACAAGACUUCAACCAACGCAAGGUCAUCCGGCACCUGCCAGCCAAAACAGCAAAGCUAGGACGGACGCCCAAGUGGGCUAUAAUUUCUAUAUGCACCAAACAGCACAAGAUAGAGAGCAACAUUGGGACUAGAGAAUUCCUUCAAAUAAGGUAUCAUCACAGGAGGCCAAGCCAUCCGAGGAUAAUGACUAACACUCGGACUAUAAUGAAAAGGUGUGAACCAUCGACUGUCGCUGCCGAGGCAGGGAACCAAUCAAACGGAACAUACC
rnacentral:misc_RNA from 1 species